UACAUUCCAUUUAUAUUUUCCUGGUAAUCUUUCUUGUAUUUUCCUUUCCGCCUUACAGAGCCAACAAUAACCACAGCCGUUCCAUCAACAACGUUAUACGAGUGGACCCCGCAGUGCCCUCCUGCACAGAGGGACUCUAUCUGCCCAGGUUCCUGACACCAACUCCAGCCAACAAAGCUCAACUGUACGCCCCUGUCAAUCAGACCCUUUCUAUCAGCGUCACUGCAGAGGCAACUGUCUCCACACCCUCCAGAAAAACGCGAUUAUGCGAUCGCAUAAUGUAG